rnacentral:rRNA from 1 species
UACGUAGGGUGCAAGCGUUGUCCGGAAUUAUUGGGCGUAAAGAGCUCGUAGGCGGUUUGUCGCGUCGAAUGUGAAACCCGGGGCUCAACCCCGGGCCGCAUUCGGAUACGGGCAGACUAGAGUUCGGUAGGGGAGUCUGGAAUUCCUGGUGAGCGGGUGAAAUGCGCGAUAUCAGGAGAACACUCGUGGCGGAAGGCGGCUCUCUGGGACGGUACUUGACGGCUGAG